AAAUACAAAGAGAGAUAAAUAUAAUAAGAGAUAAAUACAAUGAGAGAUGGAGAGAGAAAUACAAUGAGAGAUGGAGAGAUAAAUUCAAUGAGAGAUAAAUAUAAGAGAUAAAUACAAUGAGAGAGACAAAUACAAUGAGAGAGAUGGAGAGAGAAAUACAAUGAGAGAUAGAGAAAUAAAAUGAGAGGGAGAGAGAUAAAUACAAUGAGAUAAAGAUAAACAAAUUUGUCUCUUAAUCCUCGGGCCAAACAGAGUGUAGUUACUGCUUAGUUACUGUAGGCUACAUUAGCACGCUAACUUCCUGCUCUGCACUGAUACUGGAGAUCACAGAACAGCAGCUACUGUGGGACAGUUUCUUCUCCCCUUCUCCUGAAGUGUGUGUGCUUAUACUCCCUGUCAUGAUUUUAAAAAGAAUGGACUGGUGUAAGGGAACUCACACUAGCCAUGCUUGCACCUUUCCAAUGCUUUUAAAUGCAUUAGGGGGAGUGAUCGAAAGCACAACUCUGGGUGAAGGGUAAAGAAUCAGAACUCAGCUUCUGGGUGCAAUGGCAGAUUCCUCGUGUCCUCUCUUCUCGUCUCCUUCUCAAAACGGCACAGGAAAGCGUGGAGAGUGUUGGAGGACAAGACCCUAGGUUCCUUCUUCUCCAAUCCUUGAUUGUUCCUACUGAAGUGAGGAGAGAGGAACAUGAGGAAUUUGAGACUUACUGACACAGCAGUUGUUUCGUAUCUCUCUCACACACAAGAGGAGGAAUUCACACUCUCUCCUUUGUCUUGAGUUAUUACCCUCAUCUUAGUAUUAUACAUGUGGUGAAACAGACAUAUUUGUAAAUCAACAUGAUUUCAGAGUGAAACAUUUAUGUUCGAUAAGAGUUUGAAAUGUCAGUGUUUAUAACAUUUAAAAUUCUGUCGGUGAGAUCUUCAAGUGUAUGAUGAAGGAGACGGACAAAACCCUCCAAAUGAAAAGCCUUACGAAGCAGAAUCCUAAGAGGGAUUGUUAUGGGAACAAGUUGUUUUGGAGCCAAACUAGUUCACCUGUCUGUCUGUCUGUCUGUCUGUCUGUCUGUCUGUCUCUCUGUCUCUCUGUCUCUGUGUGUGUGCUCCUUUUAGCCCAAAGUAAAAAGCAUGGAACACUGCCUGAAUUCUGACCAUGUAGACCUUAGAACAUAAGCCAGCCAAUCAGCGCUCCUUUCUCCUUGAGACAACACCCAGGGGAACAGAUGUGGCCUAGGAAAUGAAGAGGAUCGGCAUCAUGGGGGGCGCAGUAUGUGUGUUGAAGGCAUGACGGAGCCCAGAAACAGGAUCUGCUAUCUGGAUAACACUGUCUGCAGUCUCCAGUGGGAAACUACAGUUGAAGUCAGAAGUUUACAUACACCUUAAACUCAGUUUUUCACAAUUCCUGACAUUUAAUCAGAGUAAAAAUUCACUAUUUUAGGUCAGUUAGGAUCACCACUUUAUUUUAACACUGUGAAAUGUCUGAAUAAUAGUAGAGAGAAUUAUUUAUUUCAGCUUUUAUUUCUUUCAUCACAUUCCCAGUGGGUCAGAAGUUUACAUACACUCAAUUAGUAUUUGGUAGCGUUGCCUUUAAAUUGUUUAACUUGGGUCAAACAUUUCGGGUAGCCUUCUGCAAGCUUCCCACAAUAAGUUGGGUGAAUUUUGGCCCAUUCCUCCUGACAGAGCUGGUGUAACUGAAUCAGGUUUGUAGGCCUCCUUGCUCACACACGCUUUUUCAGUUCUGCCCUACAACAAGUUGGCUUGGAGUCAAUGUCCAUUUGGAAGACCCAUUUGCGACCAAGCUUUAACUUCCUGACUGAUGUCUUGAGAUGUUGCUCCAAUAUAUCCACGUAAUUUUCCUUUCUCAUGAGGCGAUCUAUUUUGUGAAGUGCACCAGUCCCUCCUGCAGCAAAGCAACCCCACAACAUGAUGCUGCCACCCCCAUGCUUCACGAUUGGGAUGCUAUUCUUUGGCUUGCAAGCCUCUCCCUUUUCCUCCAAACAUAACAAUGGUCAUUAUGGCCAAACAGUUCUAUUUUUGUUUCAUCAGACCAGAGGACAUUUCUCCAAAAAGUAUGUCCCAAUGUGCAGUUGCAAACCACAGCCUGGCUUUUUAUGGCGGUUUUGUAGCAGUUGCUUCUUCCUUGCUGAGGGGCCUUUCAGGUUAUGUUGAUUUUGGACUUGUUUUAUUGUGGAUAUAGAUACUUUUCUACCUGUUUCCUCCAGAAUCUUCAAGGUCCUUUGCUGUUGUUCUGGGAUUGAUUUGCACUUUUAACUCCAAAGUACAUUAAUCUCUUGGAGACAGAAUGUGUCUCUUUCCUGAGCGGUAUGACGACUGUGUGGUCCCAUAGUGUUUAUACUUGCGUGUUUGUACAGAUGAACGUGGUACCUUCAGGCAUUUGGAAAUUGCUCCCAAGGAUGAACCAGACUUGUGGACGUCUACAAUUUUUUUCUGAGAUCUUGGCUGAUUUCUUUGGAUUUUCCCAUGAUGUCAAGCAAAGAGGCACUGAGUUUGAAGGUAGGCCUUGAAAUACAUCCAAUUGUACACCUCCAAUUUACUCAAAUGAUGUAAAUUAGCCUAUCAGAAGCUUCUAAAGCCAUGACAUCAUUUUCUGGUAUUUUCCAAGCUGCUUAAAGGCAGUCAAUGGUCCUCGGAUGGAGCCACAGUGUCUCCUGACCCCUCCUGUCUCAGCCUCCAGUAUUUAUGCUGCAGUAGUUUAUGUGUCGGGGGGCUAGGGUCAGUUUGUUAUAUCUGGAGUACUUAUCCUGUCCUAUUCGGUGUCCUGUGUGAAUUUAAGGAUGCUCUCUCUAAUUCUCUCUUUCUCUCUCUUGGAGGACCUGAGCCCUAGGACCAUGCCUCAGGACUACCUGACAUGAUGACUCCUUGCCGUCCCCAGUCCACCUGGCCGUGCUGCUGCUCCAGUUUCAACUGUUCUGCCUGUGAUUAUUAUUAUUUGACCAUGCUGGUCAUUUAUGAACAUUACAUUUACAUUUAAGUCAUUUAGCAGACGCUCUUAUCCAGAGCGACUUACAAAUUGGUGAAUUCACCUUCUGACAUCCAACAUUUGAACAUCUUGGCCAUGUUCUGUUACAAUCUCCACCCGGCACAGCCAGAAGAGGACUGGCCACCCCUCAUAACCUGGUUCCUCUCUAGGUUUCUUCCUAGGUUUUGGCCUUUCUAGGGAGUUUUCCCUAGCCACCGUGCUUCUACACCUGCAUUGCUUGCUGUUUGGGGUUUUAGGCUGGGUUUCUGUACAGCACUUUGAGAUAUCAGCUGAUGUAUGAAGGGCUAUAUAAAUAAAUGUGAUUUGAUUUGAA